AACUCAGGGAACUGAAACAUCUAAGUACCUGAAGGAAGAGAAAGAAAUUCGAUUCCGCUAGUAGCGGCGAGCGAACGCGGAAGAGCCCAAACCAAGUUAGUUUACUAAUUUGGGGUUGCGGACAUAUCUUAAGGAGUAGUUAUUGCGAGUGGAAGAGUUCUGGAAAGUUCUACCACAGAGGGUAAUAGUCCCGUACACAAAGCCAAGAAGACUCUUGAUAUGAUCCAGAGUACCACGAGACACGUGAAACCUUGUGGGAAGCAGGGGGGACCACCCCCCAAGGCUAAAUACUACCUAGUGACCGAUAGCGUAUAGUACCGUGAGGGAAAGGUGAAAAGAACCCCGGGAGGGGAGUGAAAUAGAACCUGAAACCCUGCACUUACAAUCUGUGGGAGCGCAUUAUUGGCGUGACCGCGUACUUUUUGUAGAACGGGCCAACGAGUUACGUUAUGUGGCAAGGUUAAGCACUUAAGGUGUGGAGCCGUAGCGAAAGCGAGUCUUAACUGGGCGACAUAGUCACAUGACGUAGACCCGAAACCGGGCGACCUACCCAUGAGCAGGAUGAAGCGAAAGUAAAAUUUCGUGGAGGUCCGAACCCACGUACGUUGAAAAGUGCGGGGAUGACUUGUGGGUAGCGGUGAAAUUCCAAUCGAGCUCGGAGAUAGCUGGUUCUCCUCGAAAUAGCUUUAGGGCUAGCCUUGAAUGUAGAGAUGUGGAGGUAGAGCACUGAAUGUCCUAGGGGGUAUUGCACUUACCGAAGACUAUCAAACUCCGAAUGCCAUAAUCUUUUAUUCAGGAGUCAGACUAUGGGUGAUAAGGUUCAUAGUCGAAAGGGAAAGAGCCCAGACCGUCAGCUAAGGUCCCUAAAUGUAUGUUAAGUGGUAAAGGAUGUGGGAUUGCAUAGACAACCAGGAUGUUGGCUUAGAAGCAGCCAUUCAUUUAAAGAGUGCGUAAUAGCUCACUGGUCGAGUGAUCCUGCGCCGAAGAUUUCCGGGGCUAAAACAUACUACCGAAGCUACGGCAUCGAAAGAUGGGUAGAGGAGCUUCCCAUGCAGGAUGAAGCAGUACCGUAAGGAGCUGUGGACAGUAUGGGAGAGAGAAUGUUGGCAUGAGUAGCGAGAUGAAGGUGAGAAUCCUUCAGGCCGUAAACCCAAGGUUUCCAGGGGAAGGUUCGUCCUCCCUGGGUUAGUCGGGACCUAAGCUCAGGCCGAAAGGCGUAGGCGAUGGACAACAGGUUGAAAUUCCUGUACUACCGAUAAUCGUUUGAGAGAUGGGAUGACACAGUAGGAUAAGCUGAGCACACUGUUGGUUAUGUGUGUCUAAGUAUUGAGGCAGAUCGAAUAGGCAAAUCCGUUUGAUUAAUGCUGGGAUACGAUGGGGAGCGAAACUAAGUAGCGAAGCAGCUGAUUUCACACUGUCGAGAAAAGUCUCUAUCGAGAUUAAAGGUACCCGUACCGCAAACCGACACAGGUGGGUGAGGAGAGUAUCCUAAGGCCAGCGAGAGAACUGUUGUUAAGGAACUCGGCAAAAUGACCCCGUAACUUAGGGAUAAGGGGUGCCCCAGAAAUGGGGCCGCAGAGAAUUGGCCCAAGCGACUGUUUACCAAAAACAUAGGUUUCUGCUAAGUCGCAAGACGAUGUAUAGGAGCUGACGCCUGCCCGGUGCUGGAAGGUUAAGGGGAUCUGUUAGAGCAAUCGAAGCAGUGAUCUUAAGCCCCAGUAAACGGCGGCCGUAACUAUAACGGUCCUAAGGUAGCGAAAUUCCUUGUCGGGUAAGUUCCGACCCGCACGAAAGGCGUAACGAUUUGGG
rnacentral:rRNA from 1 species